UGGGGAAUAUUGCACAAUGGGCGCAAGCCUGAUGCAGCCAUGCCGCGUGUAUGAAGAAGGCCUUCGGGUUGUAAAGUACUUUCAGCGAGGAGGAAGGCGUUGUGGUUAAUAACCGCAGCGAUUGACGUUACUCGAAGAAGAAGCACCGGCUAACUCCGUGCCAGCAGCCGCGGUAAUACGGAGGGUGCAAGCGUUAAUCGGAAUUACUGGGCGUAAAGCGCACGCAGGCGGUCUGUCAAGUCGGAUGUGAAAUCCCCGGGCUCAACCUGGGAACUGCAUCCGAAACUGGCAGGCUAGAGUCUUGUAGAGGGGGGUAGAAUUCCAGGUGUAGCGGUGAAAUGCGUAGAGAUCUGGAGGAAUACCGGUGGCGAAGGCGGCCCCCUGGACAAAGACUGACGCUCAGGUGCGAAAGCGUGGGGAGCAAACA
rnacentral:rRNA from 1 species